AUUCCAGCUCCAGUAGCGUAUGUUAAAGUUGUUGCGGUUAAAUAGUUCGUGGUUGGAUUUUUGCUAGGGACGAUCGGUCCACCCACUGGGUGUGUAUCUGUCUCGGCCUUGGCACCUUCCUGGCGAACGCAACUGCACUUGACUGUGUGGUCCGGUAUCCAGGACUUUUGCUUUGAGGGGAUUCGAGUGUUUCAGGCAGGCGCACGCCUUGAAUACAUUAGCAUGGCAUAAUGAGACAGGACCUGAGUUCUAUGUUGUUGGUUUUUAUAGCUGAGGUAAUGAUUAAUAGGGGUAGUUGGGGGUAUUCGCAUUUAACAGUCAGAGGUGAACUUCUUGGAUUUGUUAAAGACGGACUAAUGCGAAAGCAUUUGCCAAGGAUGUUUCAUUA
rnacentral:rRNA from 1 species